rnacentral:lncRNA from 10 species
AGAUGCCUUCUGCCAUGAUUGUAAGUUUCCUGAGGCGUCCCCAGCCAUGCAGAACUGACCUGUGAGAGAAAGCCGGGGAAGCAGAACCCUUUGAUGGAGACAACAGAGUCAGGACAAUAUUGUUUAAAACUCCUAAAUCCAAACAUGCCUGAAGCUAUAAGUUACUUCUGAAAUUUAAAAAUUUGUCUGUGGUAUCUGUUUAUUAUGGCAGCCCAGUGAGACUAAGACAGGCCAUCAAAAGACGUGAACGUUUUGGACCUUCUCUUGGGCCCUAGUAAACAGAAAUCAGGCUACUUAUUAAACUAAACCACGUUCUGAACUGUUACUGCUACUGGAAACCAGUCCCGAUCCAGACCCCAAAAGAGGAUUCUUGGAUCUUGCACAAGAAAGAAAGGCUACUCCUCACAGUAAAAGAGCACUUGGUGGAAAUUUUGUUCUGAAGUGAAGGCUGAAACCCCAGAGAUCAAACACUGUACUCAAGUUUACAAAGCUGGACUCAGACCCUAACACUGGCUUUAAAAUUUGUCCUAAGUUAGACCAUAAUGCCUCUCUUUCCAGCUGGAUCUACAUGCCUCCACUCUGGCUUUUAACAAGGCUCUGAACUAUUGUCAGAACUUGGGAAUUUCUAACAUUGAAGGUAACACAUUGACACAAUUUCCUCGAUGUAAAAUUGUAUACACUUUAUCCAAGUCCCAUCUGAGCAUGUUAUGUCCUAUUUGUACCCUUACAAAAACUGAUUGGUGGCCAAAUUGAUUUGAGACUGAAAGUUGCCACUUAUGUUCUUAGAAAUACUUGCUUUAAUUCACCAGAAUCAGUUGCUCUGAUACAACUU